rnacentral:rRNA from 1 species
CUACGGGCCGCAGCAGUGGGGAAUAUUGGACAAUGGGGGAAACCCUGAUCCAGCAAUGCCGCGUGUGUGAAGAAGGCCUGCGGGUUGUAAAGCACUUUCGGUUGGGAGGACUGCUUCUAGCACUAAUAUUGUUGGAAGUUGACGUUACCUUCAGAAGAAGCACCGGCUAACUCCGUGCCAGCAGCCGCGGUAAUACGGAGGGUGCAAGCGGUAAUCGGAAUUACUGGGCGUAAAGCGCGCGUAGGCGGCUAGAUCAGGCGGGUGUGAAAGCCCCGGGCUUAACCUGGGAACUGCAUCCGAUACUGUCUAGCUUGAGUACAGGAGAGGAGAGUGGAAUUCCACAUGUAGCGGUGAAAUGCGUAGAUAUGUGGAGGAACACCAAUGGCGAAGGCAGCUCUCUGGCCUGAUACUGACGCUGAGGUGCGAAAGCGUGGGGAGCAAACAGGAUUAGAUACCCCAGUAGUC